rnacentral:rRNA from 1 species
UCUCAGUUCGGAUUGGAGUCUGCAACCCGACUCCAUGAAGCUGGAUUCGCUAGUAAUCGCGCAUCAGCCACGGCGCGGUGAAUACGUUCCCGGGCCUUGUACACACCGCCCGUCAAGCCAUGGAAGCCGGGGGUGCUUGAAGUGCGUCGCCGCGAGGCGCGCCCUAGAGCAAAACCGGUGACUGGGGCUAAGUCGUAACAAGGUAUC